UCCUUGGUGGCUUAGUGGUAAAGAAUCUGCCUGCCAAGCAGGAGAGUCGGGUUCAGUCCCUGGGUCAGGAA
rnacentral:tRNA from 1 species